CCACGACCGCUCGCGUAGCUUCUCGACGGGCUACGAUCGACAGUGGGCAACUCGCCUACGCGACGACCGCUUCGGGGCGAACGAGUACCGCCUCCUGGCCCGACCACUCCGCUUCCGCUCGAGUUUCUGCUAUGCAAAUUUUGAAUGGAAAUACGUCAACGUGGUGCCUAGUUUGCGUGACACGUUCCUGAAUGCACGUUCCACUUCGCAACCCCUCGUCUCACCCCUCUGGCGUCCGUCGACCCGGCGUACGACAUCGCAAUCAAUGAAGCUACGAUUCACCGAGCAGUGCCGUGCGACCAACUGGCUCCUAAAGUUCCAAUUUCACGAAACCAGACGUGUCAUCAAUUUUCCCCGUAACAGUUGGUAAUAUCGUACGAAAUACAGAAAAGAACGAGCCACAAAUUUACAUUGGAAUUUUAAAGGUACAAGUUGCAAGCAUUGUUGCGAAUUUGUAUCGAUUCACGCGGAAUUGGGAAAUUGUGUUAUCCUCGGCCGAAGAAUUUAGAGCAGAAAGACGUGUCUUCGUUGGGAAAAGUUGGGAAUCGUUGCCGUCGCUCGUGGAAGGUGAAGGAAAUGCGCAAGCCCGUGUUUUACGAUCGGGCCAGCGGCUUCUUUGACAACACAGACGCCGGGGGAAAGUCUUCCCCGUUUUUCAUUCCUCCGCGUUUCAUCCUAAUCUCCAAGGGGUGAAACUCGUCACCUUCGAAUUCGCAUUUUCCUCUGACUAACUCGUGUUUACCCGAUGACUCAACUUUUCAAAAGAUCCGUCGUGUAACAGAAAUCUAGAGAAUCCCUCGUGAAAUAUUGUUGCCCGUUGUUUGAUAUCAGGGAUCAGUUGACGUCACUGGAAAAAUCACUUUCAUAAAAUACUACCAAUUCGUUAUUUUUGAGAACCCGAAUUGUAUCCGUGAAGUAUCUCGAAGAAUAAAAUGCUUGUUUCCCCUGUGCAUUAUUUAUUUCUUCAUAAACCUUUCAUUUUGUUUCGUUUCGUACAAGUUUUAUAUUUCUAUUGCUGGCAAUUCUAGCGUUAAUAUCAAUAGGAAGAAAGUGAAAUAAAUCUAUCAAGAAAUAAUUUUAUCUCUAUUUACGUUUACGCGAAAAAGAGUAAAAAACGGGAAAUAACAUGUGUCACGUCAUUCGACAAUAAUCACGAUGAUCUAUCGGCAUCCGCUAUCGCAAAGUCCGAGCGAUCGUCGACCUUUGCACUUCGAUGCCUCGCCGUUUCGAUAUUGACCGACGAUAUCGUGAGCGGAUCACGCUUGGCUGAACUUCAUUCUCCAAUUAAUUUAGACACGAUAGGCGACGUCUCCCAUUCAGAGAGGCCGUAUUCAUAAUACGGUACCAACAUUUGCAUGCUUCCGACGCUACUUCAUUCGACAGCGUAACAUUUCCUUUUAAUUUUGAUUCAACCGUGACAAAAUAAUGUUGCAGUCGUGAAUCAAUCAAACUGUCGGAUAAACGCUUGAUUUUAACAAGAUAUCGUAUGUUUUUGUCGUCGGCACAUUAUCGAUGAAAUUGAAAGUCAUUGAUAUCAAAAGAUAUUACAUAAUUAUGAAGAGACUUAUUUUGAAAAGAACGAUGCGAAGAGAUUGAUAUGAUUAAGAUGCGAUAUCUUCUAUAAAAGUUUCGCAAUUCGAUUGCAAAUUUUCGCACAGACAUAUAUGCUCGUUAUCAUAUUGCUAUACAUCCAGCCUAUACUAAUUACUAGAAUUUGUUGCACUCAUUUUAAAAGAGGAACGUUGCAAGUGUGAGGUUUCCUUUCAUUUCAUUAGCAAGAUUAUCCAUAACCAUCUCGAAGAAUAGGUACCUUAGUCUAGGAACUCUAGUCAGGGUUUUGAACUCUACACCACUUCCACAUCUUUAAAAAGACUGCCGCUCUUGACCAAAAGAAAAGAGUUUCUCCCGAUGACUUUCCAGAAUGUUUGCAGAGAUGUUCCUCUAACCGGUCUCAUAUGCUGCACGCAGCGUUGAACG